CAUCCAUCUCAUCGACCCAGCUUCCCAGCCUGCAACAUUUGGUAUCAGAGCUUAAAGCUCCUAUAUCAGGUGAUAUCAAUCCAUAUCUAUCCCUGUUCUUGUUUUAUUCCUUGCUAGUUUUCAUUUAUAAAACCAAAAAGCCAUAAAAAAUUGUUAUUUGCUUCAAGUUUGAAUUUCUGCAUUUUGUGUUCUUGAGAAAAGAAAAUUAAA
rnacentral:lncRNA from 1 species